AACGAACGCUGGCGGCAGGCUUAACACAUGCAAGUCGAACGCCCCUUCGGGGGAGUGGCAGACGGGUGAGUAACGCGUGGGAAUCUACCCAGUUCUACGGAACAACAGUUGGAAACGACUGCUAAUACCGUAUACGCCCUACGGGGGAAAGAUUUAUCGGAAUUGGAUGAGCCCGCGUAAGAUUAGCUAGUUGGUGGGGUAAUGGCCUACCAAGGCGACGAUCUUUAGCUGGUCUGAGAGGAUGAUCAGCCACACUGGGACUGAGACACGGCCCAGACUCCUACGGGAGGCAGCAGUGGGGAAUAUUGGACAAUGGGCGCAAGCCUGAUCCAGCCAUGCCGCGUGAGUGAUGAAGGCCUUAGGGUUGUAAAGCUCUUUCAGUAGGGAAGAUAAU
rnacentral:rRNA from 1 species